CCUGCAAAAUCUCCAUCGCUCCU
rnacentral:siRNA from 1 species